rnacentral:rRNA from 1 species
UACGGGGGAGCAAGCGUUGUUCGGAUUCACUGGGCGUAAAGGGUGCGUAGGUGGCGAGGUAAGUCGGAUGUGAAAGCUCGGAGCUCAACUCCGAAAUGGCAUUGGAAACUACCUUGCUCGAGGGUUGGAGGGGGGACUGGAAUUCUCGGUGUAGCAGUGAAAUGCGUAGAUAUCGAGAGGAACACCAGUGGCGAAGGCGAGUCCCUGGACAACUCCUGACACUGAGGCACGAAAGCUAGGGGAGCAAACAGG